GUGGAAACAGCAUAAAACACUAUGACGUAAAGUAUACUUACUAUACGUAAUGUAGCAAUACCAAAGAGACUCGGCAGUAAAUGUUUCCCGAGCACCAUUUCGGUGAUUUUACGUACUCCCUCAAAACAACUGCGGUACUCUACAGAAUUUGCACCAUUGAAGUACUCAUUCAUCCAACGCCUUCCCAUCUGAAAUCCGGCGAGCCAGUCUACUGCGAUCUGCGCAAAGUGAUUGUCUCUGUUGGAUGGGGAAAUAACAACGCCCUGAUGGGAUCGCCGAUUGGCCUGCGCUCGUCAUAUGCCGAAAACACGCACCAGUCCUCUUUCUACAGCUUCUACGUUGUCUAUCUGGUUUUAUGUGAUUUUUAUCUUUUUUACCUGUUUAUCAUGUUACGUACACGGACAGUCGACAGACGCGAGUACGAACACGAGCAGCAACACGACGGCGUCGUCAACCGACACCUCCACGUCAACCAGCAGCACGACAGACACCUCAACGACAACCAGCAGCACUUCCAUGACGACCACCUCGACAACCAGCACCACAACCACCACGCCGACCACCACGCCCCUUACAACGACGACCGCCCCAACCACGACGACAACAGUAGUAGGCGCUACUACAAGGAACAGGACAGUCGGCGACGGAUCGGGUUUACGAGAGCUGUCUCCUGUGGAGGCCAAUCAAGCGUGUUCGGGAAAGGUCGACUGUCAGUCUUGUUUGGCUGUAACGGCCGCUCGAUGCUAUUUUUGUGAAACAACGGAUAAUGCACGACGCGGAUGCCGUGCGUACCACUUCCAACAGCUCUUCCCUGGAAAAACCGAGUGCACGCUACAUGAGUCACGUGCCGGCUACUGCUGGAGUAUGAGCCGAUUUCAACUGGCAUGUGCUGAUUAUUAGUGGAGGUGUCCUACUGGGUAUUCUAGUUCUGGCUAUCACGUACUGUAUUUGCCGAUGCUGUUGUUGUCACGGGAAGAAGCGCGGUAGAGAGAUAUCCGCACGGCAAGCAGCGUUUGAGCAGGAGGCUGCGGAUAGAGCCGAUAAGGCAGCGGAAAGGAAGCAAAUAAGGGAGCAGCAAAUGUCGGCCAUUCGGCAGAAAUACGGUUUGAGCCCGUAUCCUCCCUCGUCGCCGGCGGCUUCCACCCAGGGAAGCGCUCGUCCUGGUCAUGCCCCGACCGCUGCCCAUGCGACUCCUACUGCGCAUGCUCACGCAUCGUCAGCUCAUGCUCACCCGUCGCCUACUCAAGCUUAUGUGUCGUCUGCUCACGCUCAUCCUCCGUCUGCUCGUCCGCAUUAACAUUGCUUUCCCACCAAAUUUUAUUGUCACAGGUGUAGUGACCUUUUGGUCGAAACCAGUGAAGAAAUAAAACCAAUUUAGUUGGUCUAUACAAAAUUAAUAAAGAACUUUGACACGUUCC